rnacentral:rRNA from 1 species
GACGAACGCUGGCGGCGUGCUUAACACAUGCAAGUCGAACGGAAAGGCCCUGCUUUUGUGGGGUGCUCGAGUGGCGAACGGGUGAGUAACACGUGAGUAACCUGCCCUUGACUUUGGGAUAACUUCAGGAAACUGGGGCUAAUACCGGAUAGGAGCUCCUGCUGCAUGGUGGGGGUUGGAAAGUUUCGGCGGUUGGGGAUGGACUCGCGGCUUAUCAGCUUGUUGGGGGGGUAGUGGCUUACCAAGGCUUUGACGGGUAGCCGGCCUGAGAGGGUGACCGGCCACAUUGGGACUGAGAUACGGCCCAGACUCCUACGGGAGGCAGCAGUGGGGAAUAUUGCACAAUGGGCGAAAGCCUGAUGCAGCAACGCCGCGUGCGGGAUGACGGCCUUCGGGUUGUAAACCGCUUUCGCCUGUGACGAAGCGUGAGUGACGGUAAUGGGUAAAGAAGCACCGGCUAACUACGUG